GUAGAGCACUGGAUGGGCUAGGGGAUCUCACCGAUUUACCAAACCUAACCAAACUCCGAAUACCCAGAAGUACUACUCGGGAGACAGACGGUGGGUGCUAAGGUCCAUCGUCAAAAGGGAAACAGCCCUAACCUACAGCUAAGGUCCCCAAGUGAUAGUUAAGUGGGAAAGCAUGUGGGAAUGCUUAGACAACCAGGAGGUUGGCUUAGAAG
rnacentral:rRNA from 1 species